UAAGUGAAAGGGUUUUCCUGAGUUCUGUGAGCCAUUCCAGCAAAUUACUGAACCUGAAACGGCAGGGGUAGGGGGUGGUCACACAAAUCCCAGAAAUCCCCAAUUCAUAGCCUGUGGGUCAGAAAUACAAGGGGGCGGGGGCGCCUGGGUGGCUCGGUCGGUUGAGCGUCCGACUUCUGCUCAGGUCAUGAUCUCGAGGCUUGUCAGUUCAAGCCCCGCGUCGGGCUCCGUGCUGACAGCUCGGAGCCUGGAGCCUGCUUCGGAUUCUGUGUUUCCCUUUCUCUCCGUUCCUCCACUGCUCACACUCGAUCUCUCAAAAAUAAACGUUAAAAAAAAAAAUACAAGUGGCCACCUGGGACUUACGACAAGCAUCUGAAGCGGGGGUGGUCUUGUGGCCCUGAACCCUUAACCUGGGGGGUGUAUGCGGCUCCACGUCAGUGUCAGACCUGACCUGUAGGACGCCGGCUGGUCGACGUCACGCAUACAGGUCAGAAGUGUUGAGCGUAAAAGCCAGCUGGCACGGUCGACCCUGACGGAGGACUCCUGGCCCCCGCAAGGCAGGUCAUUACCGACCUGUGGCUGUUUCAGGCUGUACUGAUGCUGGAGCCAUGUGUCCGUGGCCCCAGGGUUCAGUCACAGUUUUGCUGUUUCCUCGUGGCAGUCAAGCUUUGCUCACCUUAAGAGGACCAUUCAGACAGCUUGAAGAAUCCUAAAAACGAAGUUCUUAAUCUUUGAAAGUAUUAGGAUUUUAGAAAGCACGCGGCUGAAAGGAAGAAGGCAUUCUUACCCCAGGCCUCGAUAGCAGUAUUUCCUUCGGAACUGAAAUGCAUUCUGCACGACUCUCUCCACCAGCUUGAAUGGCUGCUCUAUCCUGGGCCGCGUCAGGGGCGUGAAGUGCACCACGCCCACGUCCACCUGCGUCGUGAGCAAAGGGGUUAUCGUGUUCUCCUGGGAGGCCUUGCUUCUAAACAUCCUUGUGGCUACAAAACUCCGCAAAAUUGGCCUGCAGUCUGUGAGGAUGGAGUGUUUUCAGGGUGGAGGGGAAGUACUCGCAUACGACGCGAGACCGCGUGGACGGGAACAGAGAAGGCGUGCGUGGACCGACAGUUAUUCCGCUUCAGGGAGGGACUAUCUGUAAUGUUAAGUGUUCUCAUUAAAUUUUAAGUUUUUCAUAUUGUGUUCUAUGUGUCGCUUCAUCAGUUUCUCCAAGUUCAGCAACAAGUACUGUAGAAAACAAAGGCUUGGUUAAAAGGCCAGGACUUCUGUAGACCUGCACAAAAACACCAACGAACAGGGCCCAGGGGUGUUGGAGAGGGCACUGGAGAGGAUAAAGACUGGGGGGGGGGGGUGGCUUCAGGGUGGACAGGAGCACGUCAGUCAUCAGGGAGGGAAAGAUGUGUGUCUGUGGCAGGAAAAAGAAUCUGAGCGGAGGACAGCGGAAGAAGCCGAAACACUAUAAUGACUUUAAAGGUCAAAGCCUCUGCUCACAAACUCUGAAAGAUCCAUCCCCACCUUUCGUCCUAUUUAUCUGGAACGGAGAAGUGAACCCAGCUGUCCAGGAAGGUUCUAGGCCUCGCCCCAUCACUCUAUACUUCUCCAUACCACUUGCCCCCACUGAGCCCACUGGCAUCCGCCCCUCUCUGUCUGCCGGCCUCCAGGACUCCACCCUUCCAGCCCUUUUAGGCCAGUUUGUCCAUGUGACAGUCUGUCCUGACGGAGCUCUUCACAGCCCCCAGCUAUGAGCCAGCAGCCUGCCCGUCUCCAGGGAAGCUCAGCUUUUAGCAAAUGGGGUACAAUCUAAGCCCUAGCUAAGCCCAGGCCGUUAUCAAAACUCUGUCAUGUUCAAAUACAAUAAAGAAUAAAGGCACCAAUACAGGGGUAGAUGCAGUUCCCUUCCAGUACAGAAACUGCCACCUCCAGCUUCUUUGGAUUUUAAAAUUUGGUGCCGCCUUUUGGGGGCACCUGGGUGGCUCAGUCGGUUAAGCAUCCGACUUGGGCCCAGAUCACGAUCUCACAGUUUGUGGGUUUGGGCCCUGCAUCGGGCUCUGUGCUGACAGCGCAGAGCCUGGAUCCUGCUUCGGAUUCUGUGUCUCUCUCUCUCUGGUUCCUUCUCCGCUCACACUCUGUCUCUGUCUAAAUAAAUGUUAAAAAAAAAAUUUGGUUUUCUUUUUGCCCAAUUUUAUUGCUUUGAGAUACAGUUGGUGUUUGCAAAUAUAGAAAAUGUCUUACGUUAGUUUUCCAUAAAGUCUUAAGCCCUGUACAGAUACAGCAGCACCCUAACUGUAGCGGACUUCUAAAGAUCGAAUGUAGUUCUGAUAGUUGAGAUGGCUAACGGUAUAUCCCAGCUAAAAGAAAAUACCUACUCACAAUCAAAUACAGUUCCUAUCCAGUGGAGGACCCUGAGAAAAUGGCCCUUCCAGUAACGUGUCCUGCUUCCCUGCAAGACCUCCUGUAUCGCCCUCUUUUCCACCCCCACCCCCAAAAGCACUUUUCGGAAUUACUGUGAAUGAUGGAGCCCAUUGUCUCUAGAACUACAGGAAAGCUGCUUGGUAACUAGGGUAACAGAUACAAAAAUGCUUUUUACUUAUAUUUGAAUGCUUAUUUAAAAAUUGCAACCAUUAUUUUUCCUUCCUUGAAUUUUAACUCUAUUAAAGGGCUUCAUUGCAAAAAAGCAACCAGUAUGUAGGCACUGGAUGCCCUUAACAAUUCUAUUUUAUUGUUGCCAGCAGCUUUCCAAACUCAGUCUAUCAGGAUACCAAAAUGACCUAAGAAAAUUUCAAAUGAAAGGAUUUGUAAUGAAUCUAAAAUAUCUGCCUCUCAAAUCCACUCGAACAUCAAUGCUGUACCAAGCUGAGACGAUGCUUCUCAACGUCAGCAGCCGGGGCUGCACGAGGCUGCAGGCUGAAGUUCCAUUUUCCAGACCAGCGUGUCUAGGGUGUGACUGGUUAUGACACUGCGGGAGACCUGGGAUAAGAAGCCAGUAAAUCUCCAAUCGCAGACGUUGCCAACUCAGAUCCUGAAUCAACAGAACAGAGAAUGCCGAAGAAUGGGCCGCCCAGCUCUUGCCGGGGAAUCCUAACAGGGCGGAGAGCUACCUAACUACCCCGGGAAAAGGCACAGAAAACAACAGGAGCCAUUCCCUAAGAAAGGGUCCUCCACACUUCCGAUGGCAUUCGAGACCAUUCAGGGGCAACCCAGUGGAAAGGGAAAAUGUUUAGGAAGUAACAAUUUAUAAUUGGCUGAAGUGUAACCAUACCUGGGAGAGAACAGAAGGGCGAGAGAAAAAGGGCUACAGGGAAUCGCUGAGAAGCCUUCAAGAGCAGUAAGAGAAGGGUUCAAAGGUCAAGGUGGUACUGUCUCAGAUUAGCAUAGCUGGGAGUGGGAAGGGUCUGGCUGGAUCCUACACCCACCAGUGUCUGACUCUUCAGGUCCCUGCACUGAGCUAACGACAGCCUCCAGUCACAACUUCCUCAGACAAGGGUGACAGAGCGGCAAGUCGUUAAUGCCUAGGAUACUAGAAUUACACAUUUUGUAGAAAAACACUUAUAGAUACAAAUGUCUAUCAAAUUUCCUAUAAUUGGUUUAUUCUGCCUGUAAUCUUGGUCCCAAGGCCAACUUAAGGACAGAAUUUCAGUUUUAAAACCUUAAAAUACAAACACUUUAACAGCAUUCCAGGUGUUCUGAAUCCAACGUACUUGACGUAGGCUGACACACUGUUAUACCUACAAAUCUUUCUUUAAAGUUCAUAAUUUGUGGGGCACCUGGGUGGCUCAGUCGGUUAAGUGGCUCAGGUCAUGAUGUCACAGUUAGUGCGUUCCAGACCCGCGUCGGGCUCUGUGCUGACAGCUCGGAGCCUGGCACCUGCUUUGGAUCCUGUGUCUCCCUCUCUCUCUGCUCCUUCCCCGCUUGCGCUCUGUCUCUC